GUUCUUCCUUAUACACAUGCUCCACAGAGCACUGGUUGGUUGGUUGGUUCACUAGCUUAGGACACCUUACGAAGGAUCACCAGACUUCUAGCUCAGUCCCAUGUGGACCUUGUAGCUUUGCUUCAUGAUCAUGCACCAGACUCCUAGACUAGACCAAAUGCUCAAAGCAAAUGACUCAUAGUACAGGGUUACAAAGGCAUGUGGAGAUAGGGAGGAGAAGGACAGGUCUUAAUUGUGGCACGUGGGCUCUUUGUUGUGCACGGGCUUCUCUCCAGUUAUGGCACAUGGGUCCAGAGCGCGUGGACUCUGUAGUUUGCAUCCCGCGGGCUUAGUUGCUUUGCAGCAUAUGGGAUCUUACUUCCCCAACCAAGGACUGAACCCAUGUCCCCUACAUUGGAAGGUGGAUUCUUAACCACUGGACCACCAGGGAAGUCCUUGAU
ensembl:lncRNA